ACUCAAAUGAAUAGACGGGGGCUCGCACAAGCGGUGGAGCGCGUGGCUUAAUUCGUAGCUAAGCGAGGAACCUUACCAAGGCUAGAAACCAUACUGCACGCCCCGGGAAACCGGGGAAGCCUUCGAGGGUGUAUGGCAGGUGAUGCAUGGCCGUCGUCAGUUCGUGGCUUGAGUUGUUCCCUUAAGUGGGGAAACGAACGCAACCCUCGUUGUCUGUUAUAUUUGUCAGGCGAGACUGCUCCCUCACGGGAGAGGAAGGUGAGGAUGACGCCAGGUCAGCAUGUCCCUUGAUGCCUUGGGCUGCACACACGCUACAAUGGGUACUACAACGGGACGCAAUACCGUAAGGUGGAGCAAAUCCUUAUAAAAGUAUCCCCAGUUCGGAUUGAGGGCUGCAAUUCGCCCUCAUGAAGUUGGAAUCGCUAGUAAUCCCGGAUCAGCACGCCGGGGUGAAUACGUUCCCGAGCCUUGUACACACCGCCCGU
rnacentral:rRNA from 1 species